GGGACCCCAGGGAGACCUACUGCGCAUGCGUGGACCAGCCAGGCAGCAACACGGAGAGGGAGGGAGGCCGUGACGAGGGAGGCGCACACGUUGACCGGCUGCGUUAUCGUCUUUGAUCGUCUCCGUGGUCGCCGCCCGAGGUCUUUCAAGGUGCCAGUACAAAGGCUGUCCAAGGGGGAUCUGCAGGUCUGAUGGCAACUAAUCCGUGUGAUACCGUCCCUCUCAAGAGUUGACAAGCGGGAACAGUGUUGGAUUAUGAGCUGCUUACCUUCCCUUCCCUUCGCUCGUCAAGGCAGCCAACGUAAGACGUGGGUGUCGCGUGGGAUCUGCGAGAUUACUCCAGGACAUCACAGCGCCGUCAGUGACUUCUCUAACACGUAACAGCGCCCUCAGUAACACUCGAAGACAUCACACAACACCCCCAAGCGACUCCUUCAACACAUCGCUGGUGCCGCCGUGACGGAUAUACAAGACUGGAGUGGACGCGCCGAUUAGGACUCUACACGUCUUAACAUCCUAUGAGGUAGUCAACUUCUAUUAACACUGUCAGAACUGUUCCCCAUACAUCCUAUCCUAGCUAUAGACUCUGCUUAAGGAAGAGAACUGUACGGUAUAUAUGUCCUGUGAGGGAUUCAACUUGUAUCGGUAACAUUGUCAGACCCGUUCGCUACGUCCUAUCAGCCGUGGACCCUGUUAUCAUCUACAUGUACGUAAGACUUAUAAUAAAGCCUGAGGGACGGUC